rnacentral:misc_RNA from 1 species
AAGUCGUAACAAGGUUUCCGUAGGUGAACCUGCGGAAGGAUCAUUAACAAAUUGAAUCCAAUUUGCAACCGUGUUUAGUAUUGUUUUCUGGUAAGAUUAGUUGCGUUCUUCGGAGCAAGACUGCUUAUCAGCCUUUUAAACCCCUUUAUUAACAUCUGAUUUACAUUGUGUGAGCAAUCAUGCAAACAAACUAAAACAACUGUUAACAACGGAUCACUCGGUUCUCACA